CCUACGGGAGGCAGCAGUGGGGAAUUUUGGACAAUGGGGGCAACCCUGAUCCAGCCAUGCCGCGUGCGGGAAGAAGGCCUUCGGGUUGUAAACCGCUUUUAGCCGGGAAGAAAAGGCGGGGGCUAACACCCUCUGUUUUUGACGGUACCGGCGGAAUAAGCACCGGCUAACUACGUGCCAGCAGCCGCGGUAAUACGUAGGGUGCGAGCGUUAAUCGGAAUUACUGGGCGUAAAGCGUGCGCAGGCGGUUCGUCAAGUCUGAUGCGAAAGCCCCGGGCUCAACCUGGGAACGGCAUUGGAAACUGGCGGGCUGGAGUGUGGCAGAGGGGGGUGGAAUUCCGCGUGUAGCAGUGAAAUGCGUAGAGAUGCGGAGGAACACCGAUGGCGAAGGCAGCCCCCUGGGCUGACACUGACGCUCAGGCACGAAAGCGUGGGGAGCAAACAGGAUUAGAUACCCUGGUAGUCCACGCCCUAAACGAUGAUCACUGGGUGUUCGGGGAGCGAUCUCUGAGUACCGUAGCUAACGCGUGAAGUGAUCCGCCUGGGGAGUACGGUCGCAAGAUUAAAACUCAAAGGAAUUGACGGAAU
rnacentral:rRNA from 1 species